GGCAAAUUGACAAGUUAAAAAAGAAAAUAAAUCACUGAUGUGAAAUGACUUCUAUUCUUUAAAGACUGAUGAGAGAGAAUAAUCAGGAAAAAAGAAAAAUAAAACAAUUUCAAAUUCAAACUAGUUGUUUUCCCAGCUUUUUCUGCCUUCUCAGUCUAUGAAAUGUUAGAGACUCAUGUACACAGGGGCUAUAAUGACCACGUGAACCCACCACAUCACAAGGAGUUGCUGAAGGGGGAUGAGCACCUUAGGGAAAAAGUCACCACCCUGCUUUCUCCCUGAGCCAGACAUGUGCUUCAGCCUCCUGUGCUGUGCAGCUUUUUUUUUCUUCUGGGGAACAGGCUCUGUGGACACUGAGGUCAUCCAGAGUCCAGGUCAUCUGGUCAAAGGAAAAGGCCAGAAAGCAAAGAUGGAUUGUGUCCCCAUAAAAGGACAUAUUAAUGUUUACUGGUAUCGCGGGAAGCCAGAAGGAGCAUUUGAAAUUUUGAUUUACUUAAAGAAUCAAGAUAUCAAUUGUGGAAGAUACAGAAGUACUUCAACAGCGAUUUUUGACUCCGUGGCCCCAAAACUCACAUGCAGCCUGGAAAUCAACUCCACCGAGGCAGCAGACUCGGCUCUGUAUUUCUGUGCCAGCAGCCAGUCCACAGUGCUUCACGUCAGCUCUUCUUAGAGCACAAACUCACCAUGGACCCAGCUCAGGAAAUCAGUGGUGUCGUAGGAGGG